rnacentral:rRNA from 1 species
GAUGAACGCUGGCGGCGUGCCUAAUACAUGCAAGUCGAGCGAACGGACGAGAAGCUUGCUUCUCUGAUGUUAGCGGCGGACGGGUGAGUAACACGUGGAUAACCUACCUAUAAGACUGGGAUAACUUCGGGAAACCGGAGCUAAUACCGGAUAAUAUUUUGAACCGCAUGGUUCAAAAGUGAAAGACGGUCUUGCUGUCACUUAUAGAUGGAUCCGCGCUGCAUUAGCUAGUUGGUAAGGUAACGGCUUACCAAGGCAACGAUGCAUAGCCGACCUGAGAGGGUGAUCGGCCACACUGGAACCGAGACACGGUCCAGACUCCUACGGGAGGCAGCAGUAGGGAAUCCUCCGCAAUGGGCGAAAGCCUGACGGAGCAACGCCGCGUGAGUGAUGAAGGUCUUCGGAUCGUAAAACUCUGUUAUUAGGGAAGAACAUAUGUGUAAGUAACUGUGCACAUCUUGACGGUACCUAAUCAGAAAGCCACGGCUAACUACGUG